rnacentral:misc_RNA from 1 species
GUAUUUUAUUAACUUUUCUAUAUUUCAACAUUCUAAACACAUUCAAGAGGUUGUGAAAAAUGAACAUAGACCUUCAAGGGGAAAGCCGACUUCUUUUGAAGCACAGCAGUCCCCACUCGGAACAAAUCCAGGGUCUACAAUAUGUGCACAGUUGGGAGAAAUGAUAAAGAUGACAAGCGUGCACAUUGUCCUGGGACCAGCAACAGCCUGUUCAAGUUUAUUCGAUAAUGAUCCUUCCGCAGGUUCACCUACGGAAA